GUUCUUUGCAUUUUGGCUCCUUUUUUUUUUUCGCGGGAGGGCGUGCGUUGGGACCUGGGUCGCGCGUGUCGUGUGUGCCCGGGGCUGCUGCGGGGACGGCCACGCUGUGGCGUGGACGGGGUCAGGGCCUUUGUAAGGGUCUGGCACCCGCGCUCCGAGGCGAGCCUGAGUGCUCUCUGCGGGGCGGGCAGUGGCGACCGGAGAGGGUGGUGGCUCUUUGGGGGUUCUCGGGGGGUGGGAGAGGAAUACUCCCGCCGAAGCGAACUGGGGACACCAGAAGUAGUCCUCCUUUGUCUGCACCUGCGCCAUUUCUGUUGCCCACGUCGCAGGGCUCCGCCAUUUUGUCCAUUUCGGGGUGGGGGUGGCUUGUGACCUUGAGCUUUUCUUUCUGAGGUUUUCCACACCUGUGCUAGCUACACGUACUUUCCUUGGGAAAUCGUUCUUGUGUAUUCCUAUUUCACGUGGCUGGCGUUUUUGUGCAACGUAGAACAGAGACUAUGGGGCAGGUAGAGACAGAAUCUCAAGGGUUCCUGAGGAAGAAGUGCGAGUGGGGUCUCUAAGUGAAUUACUGGGUUGUGUUUGAGAACCAGAUAGGAGUAGUUUUAGGAGAAAGCAAAUGGGGCCUUUGUUCACUUUCAGGAAUCAUUCUGACACGGUCACUUAAAUAUCAGUUUCGUGAUCACUCAGAACAUCAGAGUUUUGUGUUAAACGUUAGUUCUGGGCUAACCGGACUUUUUUGGACAUCGUUUCCCUGACUCCCGAGGAAUACUACGCCCCUGCUAAGGAGAUCCAGCCCAGGAGCAGCUAGCUGAGUUUCUCUCCCCACCACAGCCCAGCAAGAAUCCUCUAGCUGAGUUUCACCGUUCAGUCAACCAUCUAGAAAACCGUUGACUUUAUCCUAAUAGUUGCCAUAUCACAAGUGGAAGGAUAUUCAUCCAUUCAUCAUUGGAGCGCGCCCCCUUUUGCCAUUGUCCCGUGUAUUCCUUUUUCGCGCUUUUUUUUUUUUUUUUUUUUACUUUUAAUUGUUAAAAUCCUCAAACAUGCAGGGAAACAGACAUGUUUGACAGAACAUUUCCCCAUGUUUACUUUUGUGUCCUUCACGGUUUGAAAGUAAAUUUCUUGGUUCAUCCAAAACAGUUAACACUGUGUCUCUAAAGUAACAUUUUUCUACUUAAUGACACUGCUGUUGUCGUCCUCAGUGAGAUAAUUCCUUAAUGAGGCCAUCUCCUAUCUGCUCUGUGUCCAUAGUUCCCGAGUCAUCUCCAAAAUGUCUUCCACGGUUGAUUUGUUCAAAAAUGGUCGUGUUUAAGGGUCUCUGGUCAUUGCUUACGCUGCUUGUAUUUUAGGUUUCUCUUUUCCUCUUCAUUUACCCCAACAGUUUCAAGGGAUUUGCAUCUUAGCUUUAAUUGUUUAGGGUCAGUAGCAGGUAUAGCCAAUGCUGGAAAUCUGCAAAACUAGGCAAGGGGGUUAGCAGGUUCUCUCCAUGUAAUGGGUUUGAGGACAGUCCCUUGUGGGGACUGGGGAGUGACACUGGGGAGGUGAGGGCAUUUUGAUGUCACCACAGGGAAGGCUGUGGGCAUUUGUACGUCCGAUGGAUUUUGUGUUUUCCAGUCUCUAAGCACUGUUAGCUUGCUUGGCCUCUGUCCCUGAAGGUGAGUGGCCUUGGGACCUGGUUGCAGAGGGACUGGAGCUCCCAUGAUGUCUAGCACUGGGCUCCGAUCACCCCUGAGGACACAGUGCCCUCCAGGACCUUUGACACCUGGGGGUCUGAGGGGCCCUGGUUUUGAUGUUCUUUGGACCCCCAGACUGUUUCUUCCCCUACCCUCACCAGAUCCUUCCUGUGUUACAGGUGUGUCUUCAAGCUGAGGGCCCACCCACCUUGGUAAGAACCCUUGCUCCCAGUCCCUCACCCACCCAGGUCUAAAAUAUCUCACCCUCACUUGGGGUGACUUCACAUCAGAUAUCUCUGGGACCUAAUUUUAUAUGCCAGCAAUCAUGCAGAUCCCAGCUCUGCUGUUCUUGGGCUUAGGGAUGUUACUCAAGUGCUUGGUCUCCUGAGCCUCAGUUUCUGUGUCUGUAGAGUGGGCACAGCACAUCAAAGGUGAGGGUUGAAUAUGAUGGGAUAUAUGGGCUGUAGAAGAGGGAAAUAUUUAGUCACUUUUUGGUGUCCGUCGGGAGUGGUUCCAGGGCCCCGUGGAUAUGGAGGGCCCAAUGUAUGUUUGGGGGUUUCCGGGAAAAGGACUAAUCAGAAAUCUAAUUUUCAAACUCGGCAGAAGAAAAGAAACAGAAGGGCUCGAAGCAUUAUCACUCACUGCAGGGCAGUGGGGGUGGUUUGUAGACUAAAUACAGUGUACCUUUCAGCAAAGAUUAGGCAGCUUCCCAUGCAUCAUGUAUAUGUAAACUGAUAGAGUUGUUAAGGUUACUCUCAAUUUAUACAAUACUUGUUGUCAGAGAACAUGGUAUAUCUGGAGAAUGUUUCCUAAAUGUUUCACAUUGGAGAAUGUUUCACAGAUGUUUCCGAGAGCUAAGUAAACCAUCAAAUGGGCAUGGGUGGUUCCCCCAGGAGUUCAGCAGCCCUCGCUCCCGUGGCCAUGGCGGGGCAGGGCGACCGCUACUACACACACGCCGGGCUCCUGGCCAUCGCCCGGCGCUUCCGGCAGAACCCCAACGAGCUCAUGAGCACCUGGAUCCUGCGGGUGUAUGACCAGGGCGGCCUGGCCCUGGCCCUGGAUUCCAGGGAGUUGGUGAUGCUGGGCGACCUGACCGGCAAUGCCCGUCUUCAGCUACUGCUGCAAGGCCCUGCGGGGUGAAGGCAAGACGCUGCUGGCCUGGCGCCAGCGCUGGGAGUCCUUCCUGCACUUGGAGGGCACCGAGCUGCCCUUCCGACCCUGGACCACCAUGGAGGAGGGCAUCCAGCUGGUGCGAGAGCUGGGCAUGCUCGACUGGAUCUACCGCGAGCCGCUGCCGCCGCUCCCCAAGCCCAAGCGGCUGGUGCCCAAGGACGUGCCCUUCACGCAGGGCCUGCAGCGGCGCCUGUGGGCGGCCGCACCCUCCGAGCUGCACUGGUCGGCCUGCUGGUCAAGGGCGUGACGGUGCUGGAGGCUGUGAUGGCAGACCGUUGCCGACGUGGGCCUGCUCUGGCACCAGAGCCAGCCGGGCCGCGCCAGGCUCAUGCUGGGGCCCAACCCGACGCGCAACGACCUCAUGGGCUGGCUGCUGAGCCACGGCAUGCCCAAGGAGCGGGUGGACAGGCAGCCCACCAAGGUCCUGGAGCUGUACAUCCAAGAGGCCAGGCGCAGCCACACCCGCGACGCGUGCCCUCCGUUCGGACCAAGCCUGUGGGGCGGAGCCACCCGUGCGCCACGACUAGGCCUCCCGGGGCAAGGAGGCAAGGAGCAGGACAUCGUAGGGGAGACGCAAAGCCUUGGUUGGCUCCAGCCGGUGUUCAAGGAGCCCCAAAGAGGGGUGUCCUUGCCCCCAGCCCACCCCGUGGGCGUCACCAGCCGGAGCUGGUGGAGAACAGGCAGCUGGCUGACAGCUGCUGUUGCUGGAUGCCAGACAGUGUGUUACGUUUCAGUCUGUUACACUUUGGCCUGAUGGGCAUGGUGGGUGGGCCCCCGCCGCUGUGUCACAUGGGCUUCUGAAGCACUACAGGCCAAGCGGGAGACCCCGCAGCCCACGCCAUGAAAGCACCUUGAAGCUUGUACCCUUUCUCUUAAGCCUUUUUUUAAUGCAAUAUUUUUACUUGUUAACUUCAUACAGCACUUGGGUUUUAUGGUUGCUCGUUUCCCCUUUUGCCAAGGUUUUUCUAUUAAGUUUGUUUUGCAAUGCCUUUCUCUUUUAAACUUGAA